CGGACGGGUGAGUAACGCGUGAGUAACCUGCCUUUCAGAGGGGGAUAACGUUCUGAAAAGAACGCUAAUACCGCAUAACAUCAAUUUAUCGCAUGAUAGGUUGAUCAAAGGAGCAAUCCGCUGGAAGAUGGACUCGCGUCCGAUUAGCCAGUUGGCGGGGUAACGGCCCACCAAAGCGACGAUCAGUAGCCGGACUGAGAGGUUGAACGGCCACAUUGGGACUGAGACACGGCCCAGACUCCUACGGGAGGCAGCAUG
rnacentral:rRNA from 1 species